rnacentral:rRNA from 1 species
GUCUAUGGCCAUGCCACCCUGAACAAGCCUGAUCCAGUCUGAUAUCGGAAGCUAAGCAGGAUCCGGCCUGGUUAGUACUUGGAUGGGAGACCACCUAGGAAGACCAGGUGCUGUAAGCA